rnacentral:rRNA from 1 species
ACGGCUCAGUAACACGUGGACAACCUACCCUGAGGAGGGGGAUAACCCCGGGAAACUGGGGAUAAUACCCCAUAGACUAUGGAUGCUGGAAUGCUCUGUAGUUAAAAGGCCCGCCGCCUCAGGAUGGGUCUGCGGCCGAUUAGGUUGUUGUUGGGGUAACAGCCCAACAAGCCUGUAAUCGGUACGGGUUGUGGGAGCAAGAGCCCGGAGAUGGAUUCUGAGACACGAAUCCAGGCCCUACGGGGCGCAGCAGGCGCGAAAACUUUACAAUGCGAGCAAUCGUGAUAAGGGAACUCCGAGUGCCCGUAAAAUCGGGCUGUCCGCCAGUGUAAAUAACUGGUGAAGAAAGGGCCGGGCAAGACCGGUGCCAGCCGCCGCGGUAAUACCGGCGGCUCGAGUGGUGGCCACUAUUACUGGGCUUAAAGCGUUCGUAGCUGGUCUGUUAAGUCUCUGGGGAAAUCUUCCGGCUUAACCGGAAGGCGUCUCAGGGAUACUGACAGACUAGGGACCGGAAGAGGUGAGAGGUACUCCAGGGGUAGGAGUGAAAUCCUGUAAUCCUUGGGGGACCACCUGUGGCGAAGGCGUCUCACCAGGACGGCUCCGACAGUGAGGAACGAAAGCUGGGGGAGCAAACCGGAUUAGAUACCCGGGUAGUCCCAGCUGUAAACGAUGCGCGUUAGGUGUAUCGGUGACCACGAGUCACCGAGGUGCCGAAGAGAAAUCGUGAAACACGCCGCCUGGGAAGUACGGUCGCAAGGCUGAAACUUAAAGGAAUUGGCGGGGGAGCAC